AUAACUGGCUUGUGGCGGCCAAGCGUUCGUAGCGACGUCGCUUUUUGAAUCUUCGAUGUCGGCUCUUUCUAUCAUUGCGAUGCAGCUGUCGCCCGCUAACAGGGGACGUGAGCUGGGUUUAGACCGUCGUGAAACAAAUU
rnacentral:ncRNA from 1 species